CACAGGUGCUCCGGUUUCCCGCCACAUCCCAAAGCUGUGUGGGAUGGUAGGGUAAUGAGUUGCUGCCUGGCCUGCUGAGUUCCUCCAGCAUUUUGUGUGUGUUGCUUGGAUUUCCAGCACCUGCAGAUUUUCUCUUGAAUGUUGAAAGGACUAGUCAGAGUGGAUGUAGAGAGGAUGUUACCUCUGGUGGGGGUAUCCAGAACUAGAGGGCACAGCCUGAAAAUUGAGGGGCGACUCCUUAGAACAGAGGUGACCUGGAUGCUGGGGAGACCAGUGCCCAUGAUGGAGCUAACUGAGGUUACAUCUCUCUGCUGCUUAUUUCAAUCCUGAACAGUGACCCGCCAUACUAGACGGUGACGCAACCAGUUAGAAUGCUCUCCACAGUACAUGGAUAGAAAUUUGCGAGAGUGUCUGCUGACAUAUCAAAUCUUCUCAAACUCCUCAUGAAUUAUAGCUGCUGUUAUGCUUCCUUUGUAACUGCAUCGAUAUGUUGGGCCCAGGAUAGAUCCUCAGAGAUGUUGACACCCGGGAACUUGAAAUUGUUCCCUCCACUUCUGAUCCUUCGACGAGGACUGGAGUGUGUUCCCUCUUCUUACCCUUUCUGAAGUCUGCAAUCAAUUCUUUGGUCUUACUGACGUUGAGUGCAAAGUUGUCACUGCAGGACCACUCGACCAGCUGAUCCAGCCUCCCACUUGACCUUACCUACCAAGAGCUAAGCACAAGGCAGCAUCACUCUCGGGAUCUUAAGAUCUCACAAGCCUCUCCACCACGACAAGAUGACCAUCCUCGGAGAAGUGUAAUGACUGCAAUAAUGAGGAGGAGCAAGGGUUCAGAGAAAAAUGAACUCAAUUAAUUUUAAGAUGGCAUAGUUUUAAGAUGCUUGGAAAUAGGUACAGGGGGAUGUCAGAGAUAAGUUUUUCACACAGAGACUGUCAGCAAGGUGGUAGAGGUGGAUAUAAUAGGAUCUUUUAAGAGACACUUAGAUAGGUACAUGGAACUUAGAAAAAUAGAGGGCUAUGCGGUAGGGAAAUUCUAGGCAGUUUCUGGGGUAGGUUACAUGGUCUGCACAACAUUGUGGGCCGAUAGGCCUGUAAUGUACUUUAGAUUUCUGUGUUUCUAUGUCCCUAAUAAAAGCAAAGGUGUUGUAAAGCUCAAUGGUAUUGCAUAAACAGACCCUCUCUAUUAUAUAACUCAAAGUUUUAAGUUCAAAGUUCAAUGUAAGUUUACUAUUAAAGUACA